GACUCCUCUCCCUCUCUCGCUCGUGACCCCAACAUCGCGAGCCAACUCUGACUCCGCCGUGAGAUCUCUCCACCAACGGCCCCGAAGAUAUUCAGGUGAAGAGGAGAAUACAUUUGGGCAAUUGUGGCGAACGUGUGGGUGAUAUAUAUUUGUUGGUCUACAAGUUGAGGAUGUGAAGAAGCCUGUCAAUCCAUUUUCCUUCCUCUUGCGUUUCAUUUUUGGGACAUUUUAUCCCCUGCUUCAAUUGUUUGGCAGUGUACUGUUGGUGUUCAUUGCUCACAUAUAAAAGCUAUGGGUUUUGGUUUUACUCAAUAUAAAUACUGAAAUGAGAAUCAUGUUACUUUA